rnacentral:rRNA from 1 species
CUUAGACUAGCAUGCAUGUCUCCGAUAGAAGAGCAAGUCUCUCUGAAUCUGCGAACGGCUCCGCAUACCAGUUGUAAACCAUAGCAAGCAAGCCGCGUUGUUGCCGCAAGGCGACGGCGCGGUUCACAGGGAUAACCCUGGUAAUUCUGAGGCUAAUACAAGAACGUACCACCCGCUUCGACCCGUAAGGGGAGGGCGGGGGUUGUGUGACCCAGGUCGCAAAUAUUAACUGGGAGUGGCCACACGAUCUGACCACCAUACCAAACGGUUAUCCGCUUCGAAAGCUUCGGUGAGUAACGGCGGAUUUCUGGGUGGCUCUCGCUGUGUGCUUCUGACCUAUCAACUAGAUGGCAGCGUAACGGACAUGCCAUGGUAACAACGGGUACAGAGGUAAGGGUUCGA